rnacentral:rRNA from 1 species
ACGUUAGCGGCGGACGGGUGAGUAACACGUGGGUAACCUACCUAUAAGACUGGGAUAACUUCGGGAAACCGGAGCUAAUACCGGAUAAUAUUUCGAACCGCAUGGUUCGAUAGUGAAAGAUGGUUUUGCUAUCACUUAUAGAUGGACCCGCGCCGUAUUAGCUAGUUGGUAAGGUGACGGCUUACCAAGGCGACGAUACGUAGCCUACCUGAGAGGGUGAUCGGCCACACUGGAACUGAGACACGGUCCAGACUCCUACGGGAGGCAGCAGCC